rnacentral:ncRNA from 2 species
AGGGUCGGCGUCGCUGGUGGUUCGGCCGUCCGUCCAGGGCGGUCGUCGCAAGAGGGAACCCGGUGGGAAUCCGGGACUGCCCCGCAGCGGUGAACGGGAACGACCGCCGUCAUGAGCACUGGGUCCGCGAGGGCCUGGGAAGCGACGGUCAGUAGGAAGGCCGGUGUGAGCCGGAGGUGCCCGUGAGUCCGAAGACCUGCCACCGGUACGCGCACCGA